rnacentral:rRNA from 1 species
GACGAACCGUGCGAACGUUGUUCGGAAUCACUGGGCUUAAAGGGCGCGUAGGCGGGUUCGCAAGGCUGUGGUGAAAGCCCCCAGCUUAACUGGGGAAGUGCCGUGGAUACUGCGAAUCUUGAGGAGGGUAGGGGCAUCUGGAACGGUCGGUGGAGCGGUGAAAUGCGUUGAUAUCGACCGGAACUCCGGUGGCGAAGGCGAGGUGCUGGACCCUUUCUGACGCUGAGGCGCGAAAGCCAGGGGAGCAAACGGG